GUGCCAGCAGCCGCGGUAAGACGAACCGUGCGAACGUUGUUCGGAUUCACUGGGCUUAAAGGGCGCGUAGGCGGCUUGCCAAGUCAGUGGUGAAAUCUUUCGGCUCAACCGGAAAAUGGCUGCUGAUACUGGCGGGCUGGAGGGAGGUAGGGGCAGAUGGAACUUCCGGUGGAGCGGUGAAAUGCGUAGAUAUCGGAAGGAACGCCGGUGGCGAAAGCGAUCUGCUGGAUCUCUUCUGACGCUGAGGCGCGAAAGCCAGGGGAGCAAACGGGAUUAGAUACCCCCGUAGUCC
rnacentral:rRNA from 1 species